AGAGUUUGAUCCUGGCUCAGGACGAACGCUGGCGGCGUGCUUAACACAUGCAAGUCGAACGGAAAGGCCCUUCGGGGUACUCGAGUGGCGAACGGGUGAGUAACACGUGGGUGAUCUGCCCUGCACUUUGGGAUAAGCCUGGGAAACUGGGUCUAAUACCGAAUAUGACCAUGCACUUCCUGGUGUGUGGUGGAAAGCUUUUGCGGUGUGGGAUGGGCCCGCGGCCUAUCAGCUUGUUGGUGGGGUAAUGGCCUACCAAGGCGACGACGGGUAGCCGGCCUGAGAGGGUGACCGGCCACACUGGGACUGAGAUACGGCCCAGACUCCUACGGGAGGCAGCAGUGGGGAAUAUUGCACAAUGGGCGCAAGCCUGAUGCAGCGACGCCGCGUGAGGGAUGACGGCCUUCGGGUUGUAAACCUCUUUCAGCACAGACGAAGCGCAAGUGACGGUAUGUGCAGAAGAAGGACCGGCCAACUACGUGCCAGCAGCCGCGGUAAUACGUAGGGUCCGAGCGUUGUCCGGAAUUACUGGGCGUAAAGAGCUCGUAGGUGGUUUGUCGCGUUGUUCGUGAAAACUCACAGCUUAACUGUGGGCGUGCGGGCGAUACGGGCAGACUUGAGUACUGCAGGGGAGACUGGAAUUCCUGGUGUAGCGGUGGAAUGCGCAGAUAUCAGGAGGAACACCGGUGGCGAAGGCGGGUCUCUGGGCAGUAACUGACGCUGAGGAGCGAAAGCGUGGGGAGCGAACAGGAUUAGAUACCCUGGUAGUCCAA
rnacentral:rRNA from 1 species